GAUAAAACCUAAGUUGAGAUUUGUAAUCAGCAAAUCAGGCAAGUAUCCUACCUUUGCAUUUUCUUUAUGCAAUGGACAUGAAUAAAAGAGUUUCAGAAUUAUUCUAUUCCUGUACAGAUUAUGUACGGUUUGAUUAUCAACAUGUUAGCUCAGAUAUAUAUUCUGUUAAGUUGAUUUCUAAAUGGUUAUACAAGUGUCCCCACUUGGAUAAUUAAUCAUGGCAUUUAUUCACAUGUUGAUAUACCUUUGUCAAUUACCCGUAUACAUAUAUGUUGAAUUACAUAUUAUUGUUGAGCAAGAUUAAAAACCUUCGGGUUUAGAACCAGGCAUGUAUGAACAUCCC
rnacentral:lncRNA from 1 species